UAUAGAUCUAUGAAUCAGAAAAGUACUCAAUGUAAAGGGCUUCAGCGAGUCCGAACAGAGUGGGAGUCGGACAGUCACUGCUUGAGGAAAAGAGCUGAGGAGACAAUUGCGCUAUCCGGCGUUAUGGAUUAAAGUGGGCAUUUUAUGCCAAUUAGAGUGGUACCGCGGAUACUCCGUCUCUUAG
rnacentral:ncRNA from 1 species